CCAAACAGAGAAAUAAAACGUCUCUCUAAGGUCAGGGCGCAACACUUUCUGCUUAUAGAGACACGUACCUAUGGACCCUCUUUAGGUCUCUACAGAACAUUGACUGAGGUGUUUCUAUAUGGACCAUCUUUAGGUCUCUACAGAACAUUGACUGAGGUGUUUCUAUAUGGACCAUCUUUAGGUCUCUACAGAACAUUGACUGAGGUGUUUCUAUAUGGACCAUCUUUAGGUCUCUACAGAACAUUGACUGAGGUGUUUCUAUAUGGACCAUCUUUAGGUCUCUACAGAACAUUGACUGAGGUGUUUCUAUAUGGACUCUCUGGUCUCUACAGAACAUUGACUGAGGUAUUUCUAUAUGGACCAUCUUUAGGUCUCUACAGAACAUUGACUGAGGUGUUUCUAUAUGGACUCUCUGGUAUCUACAGAACAUUGACUGAGGUGUUUCUAUAUGGACCAUCUUUAGGUCUCUACAGAACAUUGACUGAGGUAUUUCUAUAUGGACUCUCUGGUAUCUACAGAACAUUGACUGAGGUAUUUCAAUAUGGACUCUCUUUAGGUCUCUACAGAACAUUGACUGAGGUAUUUCUAUAUGGACUCUCUUUAGGUCUCUAUAGAACAUUGACUGAGGUGUUUCUAUAUGGACUCUCUGGUCUCUACAGAACAUUGACUGAGGUGUUUCUAUAUGGACCAUCUUUAGGUCUCUACAGAACAUUGACUGAGGUAUUUCUAUAUGGACUCUCUGGUCUCUACAGAACAUUGACGGAGGUGUUUCUAUAUGGACUCUCUGGUCUCGCAGCAGGUACAGUCCAAACAAACACCUCAGUUACAAUGCUUUAUUUCCAUGGUGACAUUGUUUUGCCGUGGAAAUGA
rnacentral:lncRNA from 1 species